UGGGGAAUAUUGGACAAUGGGCGAAAGCCUGAUCCAGCCAUGCCGCGUGUGUGAAGAAGGUCUUCGGAUUGUAAAGCACUUUAAGUUGGGAGGAAGGGCAGUAAGCGAAUACCUUGCUGUUUUGACGUUACCGACAGAAUAAGCACCGGCUAACUCUGUGCCAGCAGCCGCGGUAAUACAGAGGGUGCAAGCGUUAAUCGGAAUUACUGGGCGUAAAGCGCGCGUGGGUGGUUCGUUAAGUUGAAUGUGAAAGCCCCGGGCUCAACCUGGGAACUGCAUCCAAAACUGGCGAGCUAGAGUAGGGCAGAGGGUGGUGGAAUUUCCUGUGUAGCGGAGAAAUGCGUAGAUAUAGGAAGGAACACCAGUGGCGAAGGCGACCACCUGGGCUCAUACUGACACUGAGGUGCGAAAGCGUGGGGAGCAAACAGG
rnacentral:rRNA from 1 species